CUCCUUUGGAGUGUGUGUGGUGUGUGGUGGUGGGACCUGAGGGUUUUGUAGGUAAGCGUGGUAACAGGUGUGACGCAGGAAGGUAGCCGGGCCGUGCGAUGGUUGUCGCGGUCUAAGGUUGUAGGCCGUGUGGUUGGCAAAUCCGCCACACAUAUAGGGCUGAGAGCUGAUGGGCGCCCCACAAUGGUGGGGUGAUCCGGUGAUCCUCUGCUGCCAAGAAAAGCAUCGACGUGAGGUUCAAACUGCCCGUACCCUAAACCGACUCAGGUGGUCAGGUAGAGAAUACCAAGGCGAUCGAGAUAAUCGUGGUUAAGGAACUCGGCAAAAUGCCCCCGUAACUUUGGAAGAAGGGGGACCACCCUGGUGAACAACCCUGGCGGUUGGAUGUGCUGGUGGUGGUCGCAGAGGCCAGAGAGAAGCGACUGUUUACUAAAAACACAGGUCCGUGCGAAGACGUAAGUCGAUGUAUACGGACUGACGCCUGCCCGGUGCUGGAAGGUUAAGAGGAUCUGUUAGAACUUGGUUCGAAGCGGAGAAUUUAAGCCCCAGUAAACGGCGGUGGUAACUAUAACCAUCCUAAGGUAGCGAAAUUCCUUGUCGGGUAAGUUCCGACCUGCACGAAUGGCGUAACGACUUCUCUGCUGUCUCAACCGCGAACUCGGCGAAAUUGCAUUACGAGUAAAGAUGCUCGUUACGCGCAGCAGGACGGAAAGACCCCGAGACCUUCACUAUAGUUUGGUAUUGGUAUUCGGUGUGGCUUGUGUAGGAUAGGUGGGAGACGUAGAAGCAUGCACGCCAGUGUGUGUGGAGUCAUUGGUGAAAUACCACUCUGGCCAUAGUGGAUUCCUGAACUUCGGGCCCUGAUCGGGUCCAGGGACAGUGCCUGAUGGGUAGUUUAACUGGGGCGGUUGCCUCCCAAAGAGUAACGGAGGCGCCCAAAGGUUCCCUCAGCCUGGUUGGCAAUCAGGUGGUGAGUGUAAGUGCACAAGGGAGCUUGACUGUGAGACGGACGUGUCGAGCAGGAGCGAAAGCUGGGACUAGUGACCCGGCCAUGGCUUGUGGAAGCGUGGUCGCUCAACGGAUAAAAGGUACCUCGGGGAUAACAGGCUGAUCUUGCCCAAGAGUCCAUAUCGACGGCAUGGUUUGGCACCUCGAUGUCGGCUCGUCGCAUCCUGGGGCUGGAGUCGGUCCCAAGGGUUGGGCUGUUCGCCCAUUAAAGCGGUACGCGAGCUGGGUUUAGAACGUCGUGAGACAGUUCGGUCCCUAUCCGCUGCGUGCGUAGGAAAUCUGAGAAGGGCUGUCCUUAGUACGAGAGGACCGGGACGGACGAACCUCUGGUGUGCCAGUUGUACCGCCAGGUGCAUGGCUGGUUGGCUACGUUCGGGAAGGAUAACCGCUGAAAGCAUCUAAGCGGGAAGCCUGCUUCAAGAUGAGAUUUCCCCUGAGGUGUCCAGUAGACGACUGGGUUGAUAGGCCAGAUGUGGAAACACAGCAAUGUGCGCAGCUGACUGGUACUAAUACACCAAUCACUCACCCA
rnacentral:rRNA from 1 species